rnacentral:misc_RNA from 1 species
GAGGGACUGUAAUGUUACAACUACAUAAAUUCAGAGACAGUUGUCAAAAUUUAUCCGUUUUCUCAUCUUCAUUUCAGCUCCAUCUACUGAUUCUAUCACCUUACUAUAUCACUUACUAUUAAUCGUAUUUAUUAAUAAAUAUUUUAUUUUAUCAGUACGUUUGUUAAUAUUUUCUAUUAUGUAACAGCAAAUAUUAGUAUGAUUAAUUUAUAGUAUUUAUUAAUAAAUGAUAUUAAUUAAAGAAUAAAUUAUUUAUUACAUUACCUCUCACAUAAGCAAGUGUAUUAAUUAUUGGAUCAAUAUUAAUUUCAUGUAUAAACUAACAUCAAUAUUAAGAAUUUUUUUUUUCCAAUAGUUUGGUUGUGUCACACACUACCCUCUAACUAAUAAAACAUGGUGACCUAAAACUAAACC